rnacentral:rRNA from 1 species
UACGUAGGGUGCAAGCGUUAAUCGGAAUUACUGGGCGUAAAGCGUGCGCAGGCGGUUGGGCAAGACAGAUGUGAAAUCCCCGGGCUUAACCUGGGAAUGGCAUUUGUGACUGCCCGGCUAGAGUGUGUCAGAGGGGGGUAGAAUUCCACGUGUAGCAGUGAAAUGCGUAGAGAUGUGGAGGAAUACCGAUGGCGAAGGCAGCCCCCUGGGAUAACACUGACGCUCAUGCACGAAAGCGUGGGGAGCAAAC